CUCCCCCUUCUGGGUGAGGAGCUCAUAAUCGGGGUGGCCUGGCCGGUGUGUCGCCAGACGGUGGUUUAUAGCUGUUUUCCGCCGCCCUAGGCCGAAUGACGGGAGUCCAGGCCGAUAGUUUUCGCUUUUUCAGUCCUUCGGUGCGGUCAUUAUAACUCUAUAAAGAGCGCGCACUGAUUUUAAAGUCAUUAGUGCUAUCGUUGCCGUUAAAAGAACUUAUGGCUAUUGAUUGCUCCGUAGUUUUAAUAGAAGUGUAAGGGCAAAUUUGCUUCCGUUUGGCGCCCGCACCCCUCGUCGACGCUUUUUUUUGAAGAGUCGUAAAUACAUAUUAACUUGCAAAAAAUUCUUCAAUAAUGACUUGGUGUUACGAUUUUGGAGAUCGUAAGGCUCUCAGACGACGAUGAUAAGCGCCCAAAGUUAACAGAGCUAAAUCUUAGACCAAGGGUGGAGCUAAUGCACAGGCGGAAGUAGAACUUAAGAAAAGACUUUAGAAAGAAACAGAACUUAGAAACUGGUUGUAGAAGCGAAAGUAACCUAAAAGAGAAAAUUACGAUAGGCACUUCAUAUAAAGAAAGUAACUAAGUCAGCUCCUUCCCCCUUAGGUUGGAAGCCAUAAAUAUCUGUUUAUGCGCUAAAAACGCCAAUUAUAAAAUUUUCAUGCAUUGACGCAUAUAA